rnacentral:ncRNA from 1 species
GAACUCUGGAGAAUCCCGCAAGGGUGCCGAAGGUGUAAGGCAGCGGUGCUGCUGAAUCUCUCAGGCCAAAGGACAGAGAAGG